rnacentral:rRNA from 1 species
AUAGCGCAUAGUACUGUGAAGGAAAGGUGAAAAGGACCCCGGGAGGGGAGUGAAAGAGAACCUGAAACCAUAUGUUUACAAGCUGUGGAACAUCUUUAUAUGAUGAACCGCGUACUUUUUGUAGAACGGUCCGGCGAGUUACGCUGGCUGGCGAGGUUAAGGGCUGAAGGCCUGGAGCCGAAGGGAAACCGAGUCUGAACAGGGCGAAAUAGUCAGUCGGAGUAGACCCGAAACCGGGUGAUCUAUCCAUGUCCAGGUUGAAGUUGCCGUAAAAGGCAAUGGAGGACCGAACCCACAUCCGUUGAAAAGGGUGGGGAUGAGGUGUGGAUAGGGGAGAAAUUCCAAUCGAACCCGGAGAUAGCUGGUUCUCCUCGAAAUAGCUUUAGGGCUAGCCUCGUAUUAGUUUAGCGGAGGUAGAGCACUGAAUUCCUAAGGGGGCGUCAAAGCUUACCAAGGGAUAUCAAACUCCGAAUGCCGCAUAAAUGAUGUAUGGGAGUCAGACUGCACGAGAUAAGUUGGGUAGUCAAAAGGGAAAGAGCCCAGACCUACAGCUAAGGUCCCAAAAUGUGUGUUAAGUGGAAAAGGAUGUGGGAUUUCGAAGACAACUAGGAUGUUGGCUUAGAAGCAGCCAUCCAUUAAAAGAGUGCGUAAUAGCUCACUAGUCGAGAGGUCCUGCGCCGAAAAUGUCCGGGGCUGAAACACACUACCGAAGCUUGGGAAUUGACGAAUGUUAAUUGGUAGAGGAGCAUUCUUAACGGGGCGAAGCUGUACCGGAAGGAGCAGUGGACUGUUAAGAAGAGAGAAUGCCGGAAUGAGUAGCGAGAGGAAGGUGAGAAUCCUUCCGGCCGAAUAUCUAAGGUUUCCAGAGUAAAGCUGAUCUGCUCUGGGUAAGUCGGGGCCUAAGGCGAGGUCGAAAGACGUAGUCGAUGGAUAACAGGUUGAAAUUCCUGUACUAUCCUGUAACAGAACUGUGGGGACGCAGACAGAGAGCAUAAGCCGGGAAUGGAAAGACCGGUACAAGCGAGGUAGGAGUGCAUCAGGCAAAUCCGGUGCACAAUCUGAAGACGUGAUGUGGGGCGUAAAGCCGGAAGUAUGUGAGCUGGCUGCCAAGAAAAGCCGCUAUUGUUUAUGAUAUACCCGUACCGUAAACCGACACAGGUGGAUGAGGAGAGAAUCCUAAGGCCGACGGGAGAAGCAUUGUUAAGGAACUCGGCAAAAUGACUCCGUAACUUCGGGAGAAGGAGUGCCAUGUAAAAGUGGCCGCAGAGAAUUGGCCCAAGCAACUGUUUAGCAAAAACACAGGUCUAUGCAAAACCGAAAGGUGAGGUAUAUGGGCUGACGCCUGCCCGGUGCUGGAAGGUUAAGGGGAGAGGUUAGCCGUAAGGCGAAGCUUUGAACUUAAGCCCCAGUAAACGGCGGCCGUAACUAUAACGGUCCUAAGGUAGCGAAAUUCCUUGUCGGGUAAGUUCCGACCUGCACGAAUGGCAUAACGAUGGCCACACUGUCUCCUCCCGAGACUCAGUGAAGUUGAAAUGUUUGUGAUGAUGCAAUCUACCCGCGGCUAGACGGAAAGACCCCAUGAACCUUUACUGCAGCUUUGCAUUGAACUGUGAACCGAUUUGUGUAGGAUAGGUGGGAGGCAGAGAAGAGGCCACGCCAGUGGCCUUGGAGCCGACCUUGAAAUACCACCCUGAUUUGUUUGCGGUUCUAACCACGGACAGUGAUCCUGUCUUGGGACCGUGCAUGGUAGGCAGUUUGACUGGGGCGGUCUCCUCCUAAAGGGUAACGGAGGAGUACGAAGGUACGCUAGGUACGGUCGGAAAUCGUGCUGAUAGUGCAAUGGCAAAAGCGUGCUUGACUGCGAGAGCAACAACUCGAGCAGAUGCGAAAGCAGGUCAUAGUGAUCCGGUGGCUCUGAAUGGAAGGGCCAUCGCUCAACGGAUAAAAGGUACUCUGGGGAUAACAGGCUGAUACCGCCCAAGAGUUCAUAUCGACGGCGGUGUUUGGCACCUCGAUGUCGGCUCAUCUCAUCCUGGGGCUGUAGUCGGUCCCAAGGGUAUGGCUGUUCGCCAUUUAAAGAGGUACGUGAGCUGGGUUUAAAACGUCGUGAGACAGUUUGGUCCCUAUCUGCCGUGGGCGUUGGAAGAUUGACGGGGGCUGCUCCUAGUACGAGAGGACCGGAGUGGACGCACCUCUGGUGUACCGGUUGUCACGCCAGUGGCAUUGCCGGGUAGCUAAGUGCGGAAGAGAUAACCGCUGAAAGCAUCUAAGCGGGAAACUUGCCUGAAGAUGAGUCUUCCCGGAGGUUGAACCUCCCUCAAGAGUCGUCCGAGACCAGGACGUCGAUAGGUCAGGUGUGUAAGCGCUGUAAGGCGUUGAGCUAACUGAUACUAAUUGCUCGUGAGGCUUGAUCCU